UUAACUAUUUGCUUUUUACUUCAGGCUGCAUCGUUGUUCAGGGUUUUAGUUCGGCAGGGGCCCCGUUUAGUGGGCCCCCUUCGCGCCAAAGGUGAGGCGAUAGACGAAGGGUUGGUGUCGAGCGCCGAAGCGCCCUGUGACCCAGUAAUGAUCCUUCCGCAGGUUCACCUACGGAAA
rnacentral:misc_RNA from 1 species